AGGACGAACGCUGGCGGCGUGCCUAACACAUGCAAGUCGAACGCGCUCCAUUCGGUAGCAAUACUGAUGAAGAGUGAGUGGCGAACGGGUGAGUAACACAUGAGCAACCUGCCCCGAAGACUGGGACAACACCGGGAAACCGGUGCUAAUACCGGAUAUCCCUAUCGGACCGCAUGAUCUGAUAAGGAAAUGGAUUCCGCUUCGGGAGGGGCUCGUGGCCUAUCAGCUAGUUGGUGAGGUAACGGCUCACCAAGGCAUCGACGGGUAGCUGGUCUGAGAGGACGAUCAGCCACACUGGGACUGAGACACGGCCCAGACUCCUACGGGAGGCAGCAGUGGGGAAUCUUGCGCAAUGGGCGAAAGCCUGACGCAGCAACGCCGCGUGGAGGACGAAGGCUUCUGUAGUUGUAAACUCCUUUCAGCAGGGACGAUAGUGACGGUACUGCAGAAGAGCACCGGCCAACGUACGCGCCAGCA
rnacentral:rRNA from 1 species